rnacentral:misc_RNA from 1 species
UACGUAGGGGGCAAGCGUUGUCCGGAAUCAUUGGGUUUAAAGGGUCCGUAGGCGGGUGCGUAAGUCAGUGGUGAAAGUCUGCAGCUCAACUGUAGAAUUGCCAUUGAUACUGUUGACCUUGAGUAAUUAUGAAGUGGUUAGAAUAUGUUGUGUAGCGGUGAAAUGCAUAGAUAUUACAUAGAAUACCGAUUGCGAAGGCAGAUCACUAAUAAGAUACUGACGCUGAUAGACGAAAGCGUGGGUAGCGAACAGG